UCUGUACGGAAAAGGAGCUCUGAUAGCUUUGACCAAGACUUUUCAGUAGGAAAUGCUUCAAAAUACAAAGCAAGAGCUAUUUUCAAGAAAGACCUAAAUUUAUAUUAGCAUGAGAACUGACUAAUACAGUGAGCAUGGAAAACUUGGAUGCCACAUGUAGAAGAGUUGGAGCCACAAAUAGAAGAAGGCUGGAUCCCUGAAUAUUGCUUGGAAAAAAAGAGUUGAGAACCAAUCAGGAACAUGUGUGCUAGACUUUAAAUGAACAAGAGAUAAGCUUAUAUCAACUUUGUGCCAUUAUAUGUGUUGGAGUUGUUUUGUUACAGCAGCUAUAGAUAUGUAAAUAGAUCUACCUACUGUCCUUUGAAAAUGCCUUUCCCUUAGAAUUCUUGUUCUCUCCUUCAGUUACUCACAUCUAAAAAUCAUUCAAGGCCUAAACCAAGUCCAAUCACCUUCAAGCGGCUUUCUUCCACUCCCACCCACCAUAGAGAUCUCUCUUUCCCUCACCUUCCUGUAGCACUUUGUUAUCUAUAUCUCUCAUGUGCACUUACCCCAGCUCCAAUUCUGGAUGUCUUGUUUUCCUAGUGAGACUGUGAGCUCUUCAAGGUAAGGAUCAUGUCUUUGUGCUUCCUUCUUUUGUGACUCUGAAGUGCAUAACAUGGUGAUGUGUCUUGGGAAUUUUCAAUAAAUAUUCAUGGGAAAAAUGAACAUAUCAAUGUAUUAAGCUCAAUAAAGUCCAUUUUCCUAAAAACAGUCCUUCA